ensembl:lncRNA
CUAAAGAAACUGCACAAACCCAUCAUAAGGUUCAUGGAGAACUGCAAGACAUCCUCGCCGACCGCCGUUGAGGAAUAAGGGACCCAAGUUGGCUUCAAGGCAUUACUGCUUACAUUGAAGAACCUGCAGUUCAAAGAGGUACCAAAAAUAGUCUUCCAGUUGCAACACCACAAGAAACAUUGCUCAGUCACAUCCAGUCACUUACCUUUGAUAGUGGCAUUGAACACCAACAAGUGCACCCUCAGCACGGGUAAUCGGAGUGCCAGGGAGCGCCACAGGAGUGUAGGUUAGAGCAAAGGUGUAGACAAGCUCAUCCCCAGUCAUCUGUAAAGGACUGAAGUAGUUACCAAGAGGGUUCUCCUCUACACUUAGUGUUCAAAAGGGCAUUUUAACAGCCAUGCCAUAGAACUACUUUUGGUUCCCAAAGCAGCUUUCAAGGAUUAGUUCUUAAAACACUCCCACUAUAAGGAAUGGGAAGGUCCUGUAAAAUGUUACACAUUCAAGUUACAACAAACAAUAAAAGAACCUUUUUUGGUGUACAAAAUCCAGUAAAACUUAAUGGAUCUUACCAUCAGCACACUAUUGCAGUCCUGUAGUUCAUAUUUAAAGAUGAGCACCCCAGAUGCAGAGUCCUCACCAACAACAGGACAGCCUCCCAUAGACAAACCAGAUGGCUGUAUCAGUUGACCAUUGCUAAACAAAUCCUUCUUUACCUCCACAAGAACCUGGCUCUCACUGCACUGAACAGCCACACUACUGGGAGUCAUAGGUUGCCUCAACUGGAAGUUCACCGCCAACUCUCUUUGUACCUCUGGAACGAUGGGAAACUUCCAGUCCAAAGGCUUGACUGGACCUUGCAACAGCUGCUUCUCCUGAGAACCAAGAGGCUCUUGCGCAAAUCCUCUGGAGUCAAGACUCUGAAACUGAGAAGCCUUUUGGAAAGGAUUCAAGAACCCUUGGGAAGAAAGAGCAGAACCUCUGGAAGCUGGAGCUGAUUGUGGCUUCAUGCUGCUUAGACUUUGACCUCGUCUCAAACUUCCCCAUGCACUCUUCAGGUCAAAUGCCACAAUCAUAGCCAACACUAGAACACCUUGCAAAAGACCCAUCUUGACAAACAUUGACACAGUACCCACCAGUGCUUGGCGUUGCCAUUAAGUACAGCUUUGAAUUUAGGUGGCUUCUCCCCUUUCAGCUUGAUUGAUUACCUUUGAUUCUCCUCUGGGCUUGUAGAGUUUAUGCAGUAGCAAAUGAGAACAUUCUAGAGCGGUGGUUCUCAACCACAUUCCUGGAGGACCCUCAUCACUGCACAUUUUGCAUGUCUCCUUAAUCAAACACACCUGAUUCACGUCACCUGCUCAUAAGUAGAGAUUCACAGACUUAAAAUGGGUGUGUCAGACAAAGGAGACAUUCAAAAUGUGCAGUGUUGGGGGUCCUCCAGGAAUGUGGCUGAGAACCACUGUUCUAGAGCAUGUGUGUCAAACUCAGUUCCUGGAGGGCCGGAGCUCUGCAGAGUUUUGU